UUUUGUGAUUUUUUUUAAACAAACGUUCAAAAGGUUAAACAAUAAAGACAAUUUUUCACAGGCUUUUUUGCUCAUAUUUACCAAGGGUGCGAAUAUUAGUGGAGGGCACUGUAAUAGUAGAGAAGCAAAAUUGUGUUAAAGGCUGUAAAAUUCGUACAGCAAUGCGCAUUAAGAAAUUUAUCACAUGACUGAGUUACCAAAAGAACUAAGACAAGACGAUUUAACGCAGUGUAAUGGAAAGACAUUUUUAUUAAAGGUUCAAAUGACUAGCCUUUAGAUUUCCUCAUUCUUUAAAACACACACACACACACACACACACAUUAGGUGUGUGUAUUAGGUCAGUGUCUCCUUACUGCUUCCUUACACCUGUGCUGAGUGGUGAGUGUGAGGUGAUGAGUGUGAGGUGAUGAAUACGAGGUUUUACUAAAUGUUUUAACUCUCUUGCCUAUUGUAACACUGUUUAUAAUUUAAUUCUUGCCCACUUGAACACAGUUUUCUUUCCUAUUAGUGGUACAGCGAUUGCUGAACCACAACGUUGAACAACUAGAUAACAAGCUAGGACACAUUUCAUGUUAUUGGGUCGUACAGUCCACUCCAUCCAGGCUGAGGCUCUUCCUCCUGGAGCUCCGUCGCCUCUUCUCCCGUGAAAUUAAUUACUGACAGUGCAGAGGUGGUGCAGGAAUAAUCCCAGAGGUGGUGCAGGAAUAAUCCAAGUGUUGCAGGAAUAACCACCCAUAUGAGUUGAGACUGGAAGUGUUGUUUUGUUAAACUACAUGCAAAUUACAUUCAAUAAGAUUAUAUCUCAAUGUGGUCCAAUUUGUAACCCACCCUUGAUUUCACUCUGGAGAUAAUUCUUAGUACAAUUUCACAUAAAGAAAUCUUGUGUUCUAAACCAAAAGAGAACUUGUUGAUUGGUUAUCAAGUAUUUUAAAAUUUAAUGUUAAUGCAAAGUGUGAUAGUAUGAGUGUAGUGUCUGUCUGUCUGUCUCUGUCUGUCUCUCUCUCUCUCUCUCUCUCUCUCUCUCUCUCUUUUGUAUUUAAUUCAGACCAGCUGCUGUUGGAUAUCUGCGGAGAGUGCUUUUCUGGCUAAGGGGAGACCCUCUGGAGCAUUGGUUUUAUCCAUUGGAAUUUGACUGUGUCGUCAAAAAAUAGACAUGUACUUAGUGGAGAAGCCUUUGUUUGUAAUGACGGCUUCAAUAUGCAUCCUGUAUGAAGAAAUUAAUGGACAGCAGUAUUCAGGUGUGAUUUUGGCCCAUUCUUUUAAACAUAUUGUCUUUAAAUCUUGUUUAAUUGGAUUCAUGUCAGGUGAUUGACUGGGCCAUUCUAACACCUUUGUUUGUUUUCCCUAUGAAAUCAAUUGAGAGUUUCUUUUGCUGUAUGUUUUGGAUCGUUGUCCUGCUGGAAGGUCCAUCCACGUCUCAUCUUCAUCAUCAUGGUGGAUGGCAGCAGAUUCUUCUGAAGAAUCUCCCGGCACCUGCUGCCUCCAAGUGUUUCUGGAGCUCUUUCCGAGUGGUCCUUGGCUCUUGAGCUACUCUUCUGACUAUUCUUCUGACUCCCUGGUCAGAAAUCUUGUGAGGAGCUCCUGUGCAUGCCCGGUUGAUGAUGGAGUGAUGUUGCUUCCACUUGCGGAUAAUGGCCCCAAUGGUGAUUACUGGAAGAUUCAGAAGUUUUGAAAUAUGUCUGUAUCCGAUUCCAUCAAUAUGUUUUGCAACAACAAGGUUGCAUAUAUAUACUGUAUAUAUAUUGUAAGGGAAUUAGCCCAGGGAAGGGCGGAGCACACAAUAUAUAUACAGUUGCCAAUAGCGAAUGUUGUGGCACUCACAAUUUGUAGAGGUCUGCGGGGUGACUUGCUGGUAGGACAGGCAAUUGGUGAAACUGAGAAAAGGAGAACUGACCAAACUCAGCAUCAUGCAAUAGUUGUUGUUGUAAGUUUGACUGAAGAUAGCUGGGGUGGGGACAAUCUCUUUACUGCAGAUACCAAGCCAUGAACAAAAAAGUAAAUGUCAUCUUUCUUUAACUUUCUCUAUUGCUCUCUUCAUUGAUCUCUUCGCUCCUCUUUCUCUCUUUAUUCUUAUAGCCAAUGUGGUGUUUAUCAUAAAGACACCAGCAGCUCAACAUUCUUUCUCAACAUUCAAGAUGCAAGCUACUUGCUUGCAUCUUUUUUUUCGUCUUCUUCUUUGUCUGCAAGACAGUUUUGUACUUGAGCAGCACCAAGUCGUAGUUUUAUGUAACUUCAGCAGCUCCAGGCACGUGAACAAAAGUGCGAAUCUCAUUGGUUGGCCAGUUUUUAAUGCGGCACAUAAAAAAAUUAACCCCUCAACAUUAAAAGAAUUUGACGCCUUAACACCACGUGUUUUAUGCGUGGGUGUGAACACUCCCAUUGACGGCCAUUGGGAAAAACUUCCCGGUGUGAACAGGCCUUUAGCCAUUGCAUUUGAUUUUGUCACACUCUGAGCUUCUUGUGCUAUUAUUUAAAUGUGUCAAAUUUCUUUGUAAUUUGUUGAAUUGUGUGCUGAAACAAAUAAAAUUAGUUAUAAAAAAUAGUUGAUGGUUGGUUAAUUUAUUACAAAAUGAGAAAGAUGUAGUCCUAUAUUCUUUACAAAUGUACCUCAAAUCAUAAAAUAUUUUUCCCCUACUUGUUUUUUUUUAUUCCUGGAUUGUGUUUAUAUUAAUGUUGGGUAUAUGAAUUUUUAAGAAUAUUAAGAUGAUGAGCUCUGAUUUGCCACAAUAUUGCAAACCCCACGAAAAUGUGCUUUUUUUAUGUAAAUAAUGAUGCUAAAAUAAAUCGUCAUCUUUUUCCACCUUAUAGCAACCAAGAAAAAAAAAAACUUACAAUAACCUGGUUGCAUAAGUGUAAACACCUCUGUAAUAUAUUUUGGUUAAGAGUCUUAUUCCACUGCUUCUUGCAGAAAUACUCCAGAUCUAUCAAAUUGUGAGGAGUUCUCUUGUGCAUAGCCAUUACAUAGGCUUUUGAUAGGACUUCAAUCUGGGCUCUGACUGGACCAUUCCAAAACAUCAAUUUUCUUCUUCUGAAGCUAUUCCUUUGUUGAUUUGGAUUUUUCUUCACAUGUCCAACAGAGGCUUGCCAGUUUUGUGAAAUAAUUAUCUUCUAUCAUCUAGUAUAAAGUUACCUUCUAUCUUGACUAGUGCCCUAGUUCCAGCUGAAGAGAAGCAGCCCCAUAGUAUAAUGUUGCCACCACCAUGCUUCACCAUUGGCAUGGUGUUCUCUGGUUGAUAAGCUCGCUUGUUUUUGUGCCAAAUAUAUCUUUUAGAAUUAUACCAAAAGAGUUUUACCUUGGUCUUAUCAGACCAUAACACAUUUCCCUUCAUGGUUUAUCAAAAUGUAGGAUGGCUUAGGUGGGCUUUUUCACAAGAAUGGGCUUUUGUCUGGCCACCCUACCUUAUAGCCCAGACAUUUGAAGAAUACAGUAGUUUGCUGUCAUGUGCAGGGAGUGACCAGCACAGAUAUUGCUGAAGCUCCUUUAAUGUUGCUGUAGGUCUCUUGGCAGCCUCCGUGAUAGUUUUUCCCCCUUUCAUCAGUUUUGGAGGGACGUCCUGUUCUUGGUAAUGUCACUGUGGCUUCUCAUUUUCUCCAUAUGAUGAUGGCCUUCACGGUGGUCCAUGGUACAUCUAAUUUUUUUGGAUUUUUUUUUGUACCACACUC